AGCGAACGCUGGCGGCAGGCCUAAUACAUGCAAGUCGAACGGUCUCUUCGGAGGCAGUGGCGGACGGGUGAGUAACGCGUGGGAACGUGCCCUUUGGUACGGAACAACUGAGGGAAACUUCAGCUAAUACCGUAUGUGCCCUUCGGGGAAAGAUUUAUCGCCAUUGGAGCGGCCCGCGUUGGAUUAGCUAGUUGGUGGGGUAAUGGCCCACCAAGGCGACGAUCCAUAGCUGGUCUGAGAGGAUGAUCAGCCACACUGGGACUGAGACACGGCCCAGACUCCUACGGGAGGCAGCAGUAGGGAAUCUUGCGCAAUGGGCGAAAGCCUGACGCAGCCAUGCCGCGUGAAUGAUGAAGGUCUUAGGAUUGUAAAAUUCUUUCACCGGGGACGAUAAUGACGGUACCGGAGAAGAAGCCCCGGCUAACUUCGUGCCAGCAGCCGCGGUAAU
rnacentral:rRNA from 1 species